rnacentral:rRNA from 1 species
GAUGAACGCUGGCGGCGUGCCUAAUACAUGCAAGUCGAGCGAACAGACGAGGAGCUUGCUCCUCUGACGUUAGCGGCGGACGGGUGAGUAACACGUGGAUAACCUACCUAUAAGACUGGGAUAACUUCGGGAAACCGGAGCUAAUACCGUAUAAUAUAUUGAACCGCAUGGUUCAAUAGUGAAAGACGGUUUUGCUGUCACUUAUAGAUGGAUCCGCGCCGCAUUAGCUAGUUGGUAAGGUAACGGCUUACCAAGGCAACGAUGCGUAGCCGACCUGAGAGGGUGAUAGGCCACACUGGAACUGAGACACGGACCAGACUACUACGGGAGGCAGCAGUAGGGAAUCGUACGCAAUGGGCGAAAGCAUGACGGAGCAACGCCGCGUGAGUGAUGAAGGUCUUCGGAUCGUAAAAAUCUGUUAUUAGGGAAGAACAAAUGUGUAAGUAACUAUGCACGUCUUGACGGUACCUAAUCAGAAAGCAACGGCUAACUACGUG